UCAUCUCUCGGGCAUGAAGGGGAGUGGGCGCUGGAGUCGCGAGGGGGUCUGGGGCGCUCACUCCCUGCAGAAGACAUACUCGGUGUAGCUGGUCCAGAUCUUGUCCUCACUCUGGUCGGUGCUGCUGGCAAAGGCGCAGGUGCCCGUGGAGCUGCACGCCACCAUGUGGAAACCCGACUCGGACAGCUUGUCGAAGGCCUGCUCCAGGAAGUUGAACUUGAGGUAAUAGCGCGAGGUGUAGCGCUCCGGGGGACGGUCAGGGUCCCGGCUUUCAUUCAGGGUGUCCCCAAACACCUCCUUGGCCAGCGACGUCUUGCCGCACACGGUGAUGCGCGCCACUCGCCGGAACUUGGCGUCCGCCUGCGCGUCCCGCCCGAUGGUGUAGGAGCCGCGGUAGCCGAUGGUGAUGUAGCCCGAGCGCCGGCUGCCGUCCAGCGACUGGGACGGCGUGAGCAGCGGGCCCGCCGCGCCCCCGGACGGACUGCGGCUAGCCAGCUCCAGCGUGGGCGACGGCGCCCCUGCAGAGGCGCCCUCCUGCUGCUCGGGCUCCGCGCAGCCGAGCGGCAGCAGCUCGUCACCCAGCGAGCCCUCCUUGAGCACCCCGCGCCGCGAGAGCGGAGGCGGUGGCCCCGGGCCGGGCUGCUGGGGCGCCCCAAGGCGGCGCACGAGCUCCGGCAGCUCGAAGUACUCGGCCUCGCGCUGCAGCCGGCUGCGCUCGGGGAAGUAGUCGGGCAGCACGAGCUGCAAAUCCCGCAGGUAAUCCAGGAUGUAGCGGAAGAGGAAGCCGUCUCGGUCCAGAAAGAAGCGGCCUUUGCUGUCCCGGGCCAGCUCCUGCGGCUGCUGCUGCGUGAACAUGCGCCAGAGCAGGGAGUCGGGCACCGACACCACCGUGCAGCGCCGGGUCACGUACACCUGGCCCCCCACGUUCAGCUCCACGAUGUCGGGGAAGAGCGGCGGCUCCGCGGAGGAGGACGAGGAGCCGCUGCCGCCCCCGCCACCACCACCGCCGCCGCCCCCGUUGGGUAA
rnacentral:lncRNA from 13 species